UAGAUCAUCAGAAGAUGACAAGCAUGUGGGGCGUAAGUAGUAUUUUUAUGCGGGAGAAGAAGGAUGGCAAUUGUUCCAAUUAGUACUGAUAAUUGCAAAUACUAUGAUCGUGCGGACGUUAAAAUCAUGC
ncrna:unclassified sequences Hatchet ribozyme sequence